UGGGUAGGGGAGCUUCCCAUACGGGUUGAAGCAUGACCGUAAGGACAUGUGGACAGUAUGGGAGUGAGAAUGUUGGCAUGAGUAGCGAGAUGUGGGUGAGAAUCCCACAGGCCGUAAACCCAAGGUUGCCAGGGGAAGGUUCGUCCGCCCUGGGUUAGUCGGGACCUAAGCUGAGGCCGAAAGGCGUAGGUGAUGGACAACAGGUUGAUAUUCCUGUACUACCGAUAACCGAUUGAGAGA
rnacentral:rRNA from 1 species